UACGGAGGAUCCAAGCGUUAUCCGGAUUUAUUGGGUUUAAAAGGGUGCGUAGGUGGUUUUUUUAAGUCAGGGGGUGAAAGACGGCAGCUUAACUGUCGCAGUGCCUUUUGAUAUUGAAGAACUUGAAUCCACUAGAGGUAGGCGGAAUGUGACAAGUAGCGGUGAAAAUGCAUAGAUAUGUCACAGAAACACCAAAUUUGCGAAGGCAGCUUACUAUGGUGGUAUUGACACUGAGGCA
rnacentral:rRNA from 1 species